UGGUUUAUUACUGCAGUUUUCGUAAAUAAACAAAGCAAUCGGUGAGUUUUUUGCCGACUCCGUGACAAAAUCGCUGCAGGUUUGUGCCGCUCCGCUGGUGGUCCCACUGGGCAGGAUGAUGAUUUCCAAAGCUACGAGACGCGUUUGAUCCGUCGGUGGAGGAAGAACCGAGUGGAGGUUGUGGGGCACUUGCAGGCCGCGAACGGGAAGGUGGUAUUUGAAUCUUCGAGCGCGAAUCGGGAGGGAUAAGUGAAAAAAGAUGAAGAACGACAAGCCGGAAUACGUCGAUGGGUGUUUGGGACCAUGGAGCAAAUACGAGUAUGAAGAAAUUGUGUCAAGACCGAGCGGGUUUCAAUAGUGAAGAUGAUGGCCAAGAAGUAUUGUCGGAACCGCGCCAAUCGAGUCUGUGCGGCACACAAAGUUUUUGUUAUCGAUCGUUUCUGCAACCUCCGCACGACGUUGGGGUUAAUAUGGGCAAAUAUUGUGCCCCCUAAAGGUGCUUCCUUUUAAAGGGUAACAUUUACACCUAGACCGGUCACAUCAAAGGCAUUUCCGCCAUCCGGUUGUUCCUCUGGCUCAUCUCCUGUUACCCUGCAGCUUGGACGCCCGGAUCAAGAUCUUGGAGGUUUACAACGACCGGCGUUGCUUGCGAACCUACUGGGACCACCAGCAGGACGGGCGGCGAUACAACAAACAGCAGCUUAGAAGAUCAUUUGCGCGAGUCUGGUGGGACACCCGCAGUGGCGACAUCGUCCAGGAGUACGACCACCAUCUGGGCGCGGCAAACACGAUCACCUUCCGUGAAUAGAACCUCAUGCCAGCGAUGAUGACGGCAAUUGUUUGAUGGCAUGUACGAGCAGCUAGCCUACACUGACAGCAAUAGUCGUUCGCUGAUUCUCGAGUUUCUCCUGCUCCUCACGGAUACAAAUGGUCACCCGGAUGCGUCAAACGGAGAUCCGGUGUUGAUCUUGGACCAUCGUGAGAACAUCACCAACAGUAACAGUUUGCCGGCACCGUUGGCGGUGCUGGCGGAGUUCAACAAGGGUUGCAACUUCAUGCUGGACAUUCCCAAGCUACGGCCUCGUUGGCAUCACCUUUC